AUAACAUUUCAUCUUAACAGAUCUAUAUUUGAUAGAUAUCAUAUAGGUAUUAUAGAGGUCAUAAUGCAUUAUAUAGGUAGCAUAUAGCUCAUAAUGCAUUAUAUAGGUAGCAUAUAGGUCAUAAUGCAUUAUAUAGGUAGCAUAGAGGUAAUAAUGAAUUAUAUAGAUAUCAUAGAGGUCAUAAUGCAUUAUAUAGAUAUCAUAGAGGUCAUAAUGCAUUUAUAGGUAUCAACUAUGUUAUAAUGCAUUAUAAAGUUAUAUAGGUAAUAAUGCAUUCUAUAUAAAUUAAAUAUAUAUUAAUGUAUUGUAUAGGUGAUAUCGUAUCAACUCACCGAUCAUCGGUGUCACUGUCCGAGUCACCUACAAAUUCAACUUUAACCCCUGGGUGCAUCAUGGGAAAAGAAUCAACCUGACUACACUGUAAACAGCUGCAUUUAAAUAGACUCUGAUGAAAUUAGCAUCACAGAAGCAGCGACGUUCACACAAAGUGAGCUUUUAAAAGCUUUUACUCCGUCACUUUUUAAGCUUAAUAUUUAAUUACGCGCUCGUUCUGAUACGUUAUCGUUUCUAUAGUAACGGCUCGUUCAAAGGGACGGCGGACGCUCCACAUGAGCACACAAACAGAAUCCACUGAUAUGCUGAUUGGUGAUAAUCACUGAUGUGGUAAAUUAGGCAAGAAAAUCUUAAAUGAACAUUUAAGAUUUAAGAGGCUGGAGAGGCAAUGACCGUGUUUAGUGGCUAUAUUGUAACCAACACUAAAUGUAACUAUGAAAUGAUAGAAAGGGACGAUGUUGUUUAAUAAAUGAAAAACGUAAUCAUUGGUAUAAGAGGAAUAAAACACUUCAGUUUUAGGACCAUCGUUAACUGUAGGCUGGGAACAGUAACUAAAAAAAAAACAAAACAAAUCACAUCACACCAUCGUUGAUUAUUCUCCCAUAACAGCAUGACACCAAGAGUUAAAUUCCUCACGUCAGUGACUGAUUUAUCAUCGAAUCCACCUCUUAUUGCUUAAUUUAUCGUUUUGCUCGAUUUCACAUAUCCCACAUGUAUCGGACAAGAUUCGAUGAUCUUGCGUGUUUCAUUUGUACGAAUGAACUCUGCCAUUCUUCAAACGUCAGAAAAAGUUCAGCGCUAUCACGAUCUGACACGAAACGUCGUGUUUAUCCAACGAAACGCUUCCAAAACAUUCGAAUCUAUUUGUUUCCUUCCUGCCAGUGUUGCCGUUUUGUUCCCUUAAGGAAAAGGUCUGAGAAACAGCAGGAAGAAAGUGGUCAUUUCCACCGCCCACACACACACACACACACACACACACACACCAACAAAUAUACACAAUAUCACCGAAGACAGGCGUGAGUCAGAGAGAAAAGCCGGUAAUAUCACACUCUCUGUAGUUUCACUGAAAACAACACUUUUUUUUGUCUUUUAAUCCCGAGGCUGUAGAGAAGUCAUGGAAGAGCAGCGGGGUGUGACGGACUGAUAGAAGUGUGCGUCACGGUCUAAUCUCUCGUCUCUCUCUCAGAACAGUACACUGAAAACCCUGACAAGAUGACUGUACUCAAUUGAUUGAGUAAACCCGUUCCCUCGAUUUGACGGAG
ensembl:lncRNA